GACGAACGCUGGCGGCGUGCUUAACACAUGCAAGUCGAACGGAAAGGCCCUGCUUUUGUGGGGUGCUCGAGUGGCGAACGGGUGAGUAACACGUGAGUAACCUGCCCUUGACUUUGGGAUAACUUCAGGAAACUGGGGCUAAUACCGGAUAGGAGCUCCUGCUGCAUGGUGGGGGUUGGAAAGUUUCGGCGGUUGGGGAUGGACUCGCGGCUUAUCAGCUUGUUGGUGGGGUAGUGGCUUACCAAGGCUUUGACGGGUAGCCGGCCUGAGAGGGUGACCGGCCACAUUGGGACUGAGAUACGGCGCAGACGCCUACGGGAGGCAGCAGUGGGGAAUAUUGCACAAUGGGCGGAAGCCUGAUGCAGCAACGCCGCGUGCGGGAUGACGGCCUUCGGGUUGUAAACCGCUUCCGCCUGUGACGAAGCGUGAGUGACGGUAAUGGGUAAAGAAGCACCGGCUAACUACGUG
rnacentral:rRNA from 1 species